rnacentral:rRNA from 1 species
UACGGAGGGUGCAAGCGUUAUCCGGAUUCACUGGGUUUAAAGGGUGCGUAGGUGGUUUUGUAAGUCAGUGGUGAAAGCCCGGAGCUCAACUCCGGAACUGCCAUUGAUACUGCCUAACUUGAAUCAAGUAGAGGUGGAUGGAAUAAUACAUGUAGCGGUGAAAUGCUUAGAUAUGUAUUAGAACACCGAUUGCGAAGGCAGUUCACUAUGCUUGUAUUGACACUGAGGCACGAAAGCGUGGGGAUCAAACAGG